AGGAACUUCGUCCUUCUGUGAGUCAGCUUUGCUAACGUAGGUACCCCACGCACGUGUUUUUCCCCUCACCGAAGUCUUUCCCCUUGCCGGACGAGACGAGACUUUGCCCGUGUUCACCCGAACACCAUUCCUGGAUCCAAGAGAGACCGCUGCUGCAACCAGCACUCUCAACUCCCUCGAGAAGGAAGAAACUGAGUUUUCUUCAGGAAGAAGCGGAACUUCUCUGCCCCACUCUCCUUCAACUGAGUCGACUCUGCUGUUUUCUUCGCCACGCCGCCAAGAGCCAGCUUGCCGUGAGACUCGCUGACCGUGUGAGAAUCGCCACCGUCUGCAUCCGAGCUGAGGACAGAGCCGGACAGAAAGACGGACUUCACACACACCCUGCUCGCUUUCUGAAGCGACCAAUGAGUCAACAGCAGAAAAGCCCGUCUCACAGAGAUAAGAUGCGGUGAAGGGCAGCAGAAUGCCCACAGCCCUCCGCCUCAUGAGUGGAUGCUCCCUCUCCACACCAAGCCAGGACUCACUCAGCGUCUGAGCUGUGAAAUGAACUGGUCCUCCUCAGCAGGUGCUGCUGCAUGGAAUGGAUCUCUCACUCAGUCAUACUGAGCACUGUUGUUUUGGAAGUGUUUUUGAAAGAAUCCUCUCAGGGAAGAUAUGUGCUCUUUAAGACCUGGAAUCUCUGCGGUGGCUCCAGAAUCACUGGUUUCAGCAAAUUCACUCAUAUUUCUCAAAGGAGUCAGUAUUUCCUUGAUCAAGUCGCCUGCCCCACAUCUCAAGCUCUCAAGUGAAUGUGCUGAUCUUCUCUGCCAGGGCAGCCAGCAGCGAACGACCCUCUCAGCCUUUCAAAUGACAUUCUGCAGUGUAACCCUUGAGGAGGCAGAGCCAUGAAAGACUGUGAUGGAUGAUGGGAAGGAGUUCUCAGUGAUGGAUUUGGAUCAGGAUAUGUUGUGACACAUUAUACGGGGCAGCUGACACAGAAAUCCCAUUCCUCAAUACACACACAUACAACAAACACACGUGUAUACAGUGAUACACACAUUGAGGGUGACAGCAUCAACUAAUUUUCUCAUCUCUCUUUCUGUCCGUGCUUUUCAAGUGUAUCUGCAAGAAGGAUAAAGAGGACAAAAAGAGAGAAUGAUCUCUGUUUGUGUGUUUUUUCUGUGCACAUACGUGCACAUCUGCAAAUUGCAUGUGCGCUUGUGCGUCUCCUGUGUCCAGCCUCGGCAAUCAGGUUGUAACAUCAUCUCCCAUUUUAAGGAACAUAACUGUCAGUUUCACAAUAAAAGCCCCCUCCUGCCUUCUUGAUUUGUUUGGAUACCGUCUGAGCCUGUUAUAUAAAACUCUCCUGGCAUUCUUUCCUUUCAGCCUCUGUCUUUUCAGUCCCACCUGCAGGUAUUUCUGAAGGAGCUUCCUCAAACAAAUAACAGUGCUGAAUGUAGAGGGAAUAACCACAUCAGAUAGCUUUUGUUUCUGUCUCUUUAAGCAAAAGAAACCAGAAGAAGGGAAGUGAAAGUCAAAGAAAAAAAAAAAACUUUGGGGGAUGUUUACUUGAUCUGCCUUGUCAUCUACACUGGGGAGGAGUGGUACAACCCCAAGGGGUAAACUCCAUCUCUUAAGAAUGAUGAAUUAAGCACACCUCCGUUCAUCUUUUAAAAUCAGCAAAACAUAUUUCAAGCCAAGCUUUCUCUGUGUGUUACUUACUCUUUUUUUAACCAUAACUAUCAAUGUUCUGAAUGUCAAUUUUAAAGUUUAAGGCUGGCAAUUUUCUGUAUUCUUCUUAUCAUCAACAAAUCCCAAGACUAAAACCUACAUUUAAUUGAUCUUACUAAGUGUUGCCUGUAUAGUCAAGUACAGGUACACACCUGUUUGAAGGACAGUACCCAGCUUUUGAAAUAAAUUAUUUUGCAUUUACAAAAAAUAAAACAAUAUAUUUAGGAGCUCUUUUUAGAGAUUUAUGUCUUUAGCAGAAGCCAGUGGGUUUGGGGUCGAGUGUCACAGACAGAGUAAGGAAGUCAGAAAGAAAAAAGAGAUGGACAGUCUUGGGAUUUGUUGACCAUAAUAAAAAAAUAAAAAAAAUAGAAUAACACCAGUCUUAUUCAGACAGCUUAACCUCUUCAACCUGGUUCCAUCUUUCCAAUGAUUUUUGUAACCUCCCCCGUGAACACACAGAAAAAGAGAGGAAAAAGAAUUUAUUGAAAGGGAAAGAUGUGACCCCGCGGUUUUGUGUAAGGUUGAGUUGCUCCUUUCUUGCUCUUCAUGUUCAAAGGCAGCGAGAUGAGAGUCAUGUCUGAAGAAAAGAUGGAAGGCCAUCACAAAGAAAAGGAGUGAAUACGUGGCUGCAACUCCAAGUAUUUGACAUCAGCUGGAGUUUUCAAGAUGUACAUCACUGGACUCAAAUUUAGUAUAAAAAUUUAUAUCUGAACUCAGUGUGUGUGUCAGGUUGUCGAUGCCUUCUCUACUCCCUGUUAAGCAGGAACGCUCACUGAAAUAGUGUGAGCUCCAAGAUUGGAAGAAACGUUAAUGGUCCCCUUGGACAAACAAUAGCAUAUAGGCAAGACCUGAACAAAUGAAGCACUGAAGUUAAUGCAGCAAGUUAUUACAACAACAGAAUGUAUCGAUAAUCAAUAAAGAUUCAUUGUCUUUGUUAACAUAUUUCAAGGUCAACAGGGAUUUACGAAUGAACAAUUUGCAGCAUAUACGCAGGAUCUUCAAAAUGUGCUUCAUUGCUAUACAUAUGGGGUAGCAUAUGGACAGAAAUGUAUCCGUCUGCAAAUGUUUUCCUUAUUAUCAAGCCAGAUGCUCCUGCUAUAGGGACCCAAACAAGUGUAAGAUGAGAUUUAUUUUUGUGAAGAAUUGUUUUGAAGAUGAUCCUCUUUUGGUAUUGGUUGGAUGUUUUUUUGAUUAAUGCUUCAUAAUUUGAUAAAUACAUACUUUAUAUUUUUAUGUAAAUGUAAAUGCAGCUUGUCUGUAGUGUUACAACAAUUUAGAUUGGGCGCAGUGAUCUGCUGCACAGUGAAGUGAUGUAUCAAGUUUGUUGUCUGUGUUCUGGGGUCCUACUUCUUUGAAUGGACAUUAAAAGUACACACAUU